rnacentral:Y_RNA from 1 species
GGUUGGUCCGAGUGCAGUGGUGUUUACAACUAAUUGAUCACAACCAGUUACAGAUUCCUUUGUUCCUUCUCCACUCCCACUGCUUCACUUGACUAGCCUUAA